rnacentral:misc_RNA from 1 species
AAGUCGUAACAAGGUUUCCGUAGGUGAACCUGCGGAAGGAUCAUUAACACAUCCUUUUCAAAUAUCAUACAACUUGUCGCACUUGUCGUUGGGAGCCUGUUGAGAGAAGGCCGGUUUGGCAAUGGUUAGAUUCCUUUUCGUAAGGAAUUGCCUGCCGCGCUAGUCAUCCGCCUUUGCAAUGCAAUGGUGAGGUGAGACUUCUACUUUUCAGGUCACUACAGCCUCUUUCCAUGGCUGGCCCUUUUUUUUUAUUUUUAACCUUUUUGUUUUUUGUACUGAAUUUGGGCUCUGUAGAGUGAAGUUGUUGCUUGCAACGAUCUCUCUCUCUCUGUCCUUUAAAUGAGUCCCAGCGAUUCAUUUUUAAAAACAACAAAACACAACUCUUAACAGCGGAUAUCUCGGUUCUC